rnacentral:rRNA from 1 species
CCUACGGGAGGCAGCAGUGGGGGAUAUUGCACAAUGGGGGAAACCCUGAUGCAGCGACGCCGCGUGGGCGAAGAAGUAUUUCGGUAUGUAAAGCCCUAUCAGCAGGGAAGAAGAAAUGACGGUACCUGAGUAAGAAGCACCUGCUAAAUACGUGCCAGCAGCCGCGGUAAUACGGAUGGUGCACGCGUUAUCCGGAUUUACUGGGUGUAAAGGGAGCGCAGGCGGCACGGCAAUCCUGAUGGGAAAGCCUGCGGCGCAAAAGCGGGAGUGCAUUGGGAACUACCGGGCUGGAGUGGCGGAGAGGUAGGCGGAAUGCCUGGUGUAGCGGUGAAAUGCAUAGAUAUUAGGAGGAACGCCAGUGGCGAAGGCGGCAUACUGGCGGGCGACUGACGCUGAGGCUCGAAAGCGUGGGGAGCGAACAGGAUUAGAUACCCUAGUAGUC